rnacentral:rRNA from 1 species
GACGAACCGUGCGAACGUUAUUCGGAAUCACUGGGCUUAAAAGCGCGUGUAGGCGGGACGGCACGUCGGUCGCUGAAAGCCCCCGGCUCAACCGGGGAACGGGCGCCGAUACGACCGGCCUGGAGGGACGUAGGGGGACCUGGAACUUCCGGUGGAGCGGUGAAAUGCGUUGAGAUCGGAAGGAACGCCCGUGGCGAAAGCGAGGUCCUGGACGUUUUCUGACGCUGAGACGCGAAAAGCUAGGGGAGGCGA